AAGAAGAGUUUCAAAAGAUUAAAGGCUAAAAUGGCCGUCUUCUUCAAUCUCAACCACACCACAAUUUCACUAUUCAUCAAAUAUUUUCUUCUCCACCUUUCUCUCUCAAUAUUCUCCAGAAACUAGCAAAUGGGUCUUUUGGGAUUCACUAAUUCAAUCAACUGGGACUCCGAGUCUUACCCACAACUCACUGAUUUGGUCUUCCUCCCUUUCUUUGCUCUUUUAUUCCCUGCUAUCAGGCUUUUCCUUGACAAAUUUGCCUUUGAGAAUUUGGCAAGGAGGUUGGUCCUUGGCAAAUCCCACACGUUACAAGAAGUUCAAAAGCAUGAUAACAGGAAGAAACUCAAUAAAUUCAAGGAGUCAGCUUGGAAGUGUAUCUAUUUCUUUACAUCUGAACUUAUAUCUAUAUAUGUUUCCUAUGGCGAGCCUUGGUUUACCAAUACAAAGUUCUUUUGGGAAGGGCCAGGAGAACAGGUUUGGCCUGAUCAAAAAAUUAAAUUGAAGUUAAAAGCAUAUUACACAUAUGCCGGCGGAUUCUAUACGUACUCGCUGUUUGCUUUGAUCUUUUGGGAGACGAGACGUUCGGACUUUUUGGUGUCCAUGGUUCAUCACAUAGCAACUAUCAUUCUCAUUGUUCUGUCUUACGUAUUCAGGUUUGCUCGUGUAGGUUCAAUUACUUUAGCCCUUCAUGAAGGGAGUGAUGUGUUCCUAGAAACUGCAAAGAUGUCGAAAUAUAGUGGUGUGGAAUGGCUUGCUAGUGUAGGGUUUGUACUUUUUACCCUCUCUUGGACCAUUCUUCGUGUGUUGUUGUUUCCGUUCUGGAUAAUACGGAGUACAAGCUAUGAAAUUCUUCUGACAUUGGACAAGGAGAAGCACAUGGUGGAUGGAUCUAUAUACUACUAUUUGUUUAAUACUCUUCUUUUAUGCUUGCUUGUUGUUCAUAUUUAUUGGUGGAUCUUGAUGAUAAGAGUGAUUAGGCAACAAGUCCAAUCCGGUGGACAAGUCGAUGAUGUUCGAUCAGAUUCUGAAGGAGAGGAUGAACACGAGGAUUGAACAAGCAAGAUUUCGGGAUACCAUAUAUUGCUUCUUUCACAAGAAGUGAGCAACGGUUUUCUCUUCCAGGCGAGAACAUGUUUGUGUAGUUUGUGGUAUGGAGAAUAUACGUGUGAUAGUGUGAGAUAAAUGAUAUGAGACUUGUUAUUCAAAAUUCGCUUCAUCAUUCUCUUAGUUGCUUCCGUGACUCUCUAGCUUUGGAUAUGAUGUGUCUGCAUAGACUUGAUGACGACUUUUACAGCAUGGAGUGCAAAUAUGCUCUUUUGUAUAUCCUCUAAAUAACUGAGAAGACGCUUGGGAUUACAACAACCAUCGCUGGUUCCAAGGGGAACAAAUAAAGUGAAGCUCUGUGAAAAAUGUUGGAGGAAAACUCAAAUUGGGGGAGUUGAAAAUCAAGAAGAAUUGGAGCACAGAUUCAACAAAUAGGGGCAUCGACUUGGGUUU